GAUGAACGCUGGCGGCGUGCCUAAUACAUGCAAGUCGAGCGAACAGACGAGGAGCUUGCUCCUCUGACGUUAGCGGCGGACGGGUGAGUAACACGUGGAUAACCUACCUAUAAGACUGGGAUAACUUCGGGAAACCGGAGCUAAUACCGGAUAAUAUAUUGAACCGCAUGGUUCAAUAGUGAAAGACGGUUUUGCUGUCACUUAUAGAUGGAUCCGCGCCGCAUUAGCUAGUUGGUAAGGUAACGGCUUACCAAGGCGAUGAUGCGUAGCCGACCUGAGAGGGUGAUCGGCCACACUGGAACUGAGACACGGUCCAGACUCCUACGGGAGGCAGCAGUAGGGAAUCUUCCGAAAUGGGCGAAAGCCUGACGGAGCAACGCCGCGUGAGUGAUGAAGGUCUUCGGAUCGUAAAACUCUGUUAUUAGGGAAGAACAAAUGUGUAAGUACCUAUGCCCGUCUUGACGGUACCUAAUCAGAAAGCCACGGCUAACUACGU
rnacentral:rRNA from 1 species